UACGGGGGGAGCAAGCGUUGUUCGGAUUUACUGGGCGUAAAGGGCGCGUAGGCGGCGUGACAAGUCACUUGUGAAAUCUCCGGGCUUAACUCGGAACGGUCAAGUGAUACUGUCGUGCUAGAGUACAGAAGGGGCAACUGGAAUUCUCGGUGUAGCGGUGAAAUGCGUAGAUAUGACAUAGAACACCAAUUGCGAAGGCAGCUCACUACACAAUUAUUGACUCUGAGGCACGAAAGCGUGGGGAUCAAACAGG
rnacentral:rRNA from 1 species